rnacentral:rRNA from 1 species
UGGGGAAUAUUGGGCAAUGGAGGAAACUCUGACCCAGCGACGCCGCGUGCGGGAUGAAGGCCUUCGGGUUGUAAACCGCUUUCAGUAGGGAAGAAGCGAAAGUGACGGUACCUAAAGAAGAAGCACCGGCUAACUAUGUG